UUGUGGAGGAGGACGCCGAAGGUGGGGCUAAUGACUGGGGUGAAGUCGUAACAAGGUAGCCGUACCGGAAGGUGCGGCUGGAUCACCUCCUAACAGGGAGACAACAAAAUGUUUAAUAUUAUUAUUUUGUCACCUUAGGUCGAUCGGUAUCUCACGUUUUUAAUUUAUUAAGAAUUUCAUUUCCUAAGUUUUUCUAGGUCACACCCAUUAUUUUCCUGGGCCAUUAGCUCAGGUGGUUAGAGCGCACCCCUGAUAAGGGUGAGGUCCCUGGUUCAAGUCCAGGAUGGCCCAUAUCUCUAUGUUGGGGGUAUAGCUCAGUUGGUAGAGCGCCUGCUUUGCAAGCAGGAUGUCAGCGGUUCGAGUCCGCUUACCUCCACUGAUUACCACCUCUUCCAUAAUUUGGAUAAAGGGAAUUUUUGAGUUGUGAUCAAAUUCUGAACGAAUCUAGCUUCCUAAUGAAAUCAUCAAGAUGCUGGACUCAUUGAAUUAAUUUCAUUGUUUUCAGAGAACCUUGACAACUGCAUAGAUUAUUUUUAAAGACAAUAAGCAUCUUUAAUGAUGCAGAUUUAUUAUUUGUGCGAAUGCAUUAAUAACAAUUCUAUUAAGCUGAUGCUUCAAUUUUGAAGUUAUGGUCAAGCUACAA
rnacentral:misc_RNA from 1 species